GGAUGUGAGGGCGAUCUGGCUGUGACAUCUGUCACCCCAUUGAUCACCAGGGUUGAUUCGGCUGAUCUGGCAGCUAGGCGGGUGUCCCCUUCCUCCCUCACCGCUCCAUGUGCAUCCCUCCCGAAGCUGCACACUUGGUGGAAGAGGACGGCCCUCCCAGAUAGAAGGAGUGUACCGUUAUUCGGUCAAGGGUAUACAAUAGCUGUGCUCCCCUGCUAGAACCUCCAAACAAGCUCAAAAAUUAGAAGUCAGCUUAAUAGUCACAAUAGACACAGCAUUCCUGGAA